rnacentral:rRNA from 1 species
UACGGGGGGGGCAAGCGUUGUUCGGAAUUACUGGGCGUAAAGGGCUCGUAGGUGGCCAACUAAGUCGGACGUGAAAUCCCUCGGCUUAACCGGGGAACUGCGUCCGAUACUGGAUGGCUCGAGUUUGGGAGAGGGAUGCGGAAUUCCAGGUGUGGCGGUGAAAUGCGUAGAUAUCUGGAGGAACACCGGUGGCGAAGGCGGCAUCCUGGACCAACACUGACGCUGAGGAGCGAAAGCCAGGGGAGCAAACGGG